CAAGGACUCUAGCGUCAAUGUCUUUUUUUACAAGUGUUACAUGCGGGCAUAUGUAAAUCCGCAAAAUCACAACGGAUCUGGGGAAGUUAGCUUAAGGGAGGCAGAGCUGUGAAGGAGCCAGACAAGGGAAAGUCCAGUCCUUGAGUGUGUCUGGCCACCCGGUCAGAAACAUCAUAGAGCAUAGGCAUCUGGUCAAGCAGGAAUUGUUUUUUUGGUGCAUCUGGCCACCCCAGCAAGUAGGUUUUUGAGG
rnacentral:lncRNA from 13 species